UACGAAGGGGGCUAGCGUUGCUCGGAUUGACUGGGCGUAAAGGGCGCGUAGGCGGUUCGUACAGUCAGACGUGAAAUUCCUGGGCUCAACCUGGGGGCUGCGUUUGAUACGUGCGGACUUGAGUGCGGAAGAGGGUCGUGGAAUUCCCAGUGUAGAGGUGAAAUUCGUAGAUAUUGGGAAGAACACCGGUGGCGAAGGCGGCAUCCUGGACCGGCAUUGACGCUGAGGCGCGAAAGCUAGGGGAGCAAACGGGG
rnacentral:rRNA from 1 species